rnacentral:tRNA from 2 species
UGCGGGGUGGAGCAGUUGGUAGCUCGUCGGGCUCAUAACCCGAAGGCCGUGGGUUCGAGUCCUACCCCCGCUA